GCUAGGCAGAUGCACAAUUAGUUUUCUACACUCAGAACUUUGUGGAAUUGGAUGUGGUGGUUUUCGGUGUGCUCAACAGGUUCCCUGUUGCUGGACUCAGACUCCACAAGGACGAGUAGUCAGGGCAACUGCUUUGCACAAGGUCAUGUGCACUGUGGGGGUUGGGAGAAGCUGUGCCCAAGGAACAGAAAGCAGGCUGUUGUCCCUACUCUAAAGCAUUUCGCAGCAGGUUGUUUUUUUUUUAAUUUAUAUACUUAACUGGAGUGGUUGGUUAAUUGGUUAGCUGACGAGCUAACAGUGAUUUCAGCAGAGGAGGAGGAAGAGUCUGCAUGGAUUCCAGCUGGAGAUUUCUACAAGCAAGUGGAGGGAAGACCUUGCUUUUGACACAGCAGACUGUAUAAAUUUGAUGAUCAAAGACUAACUGAGAUUCAGGUGAACUCAGCCUAAGCUUUUGUGAACUCUUGAGUUUCUUCUCGCUGUGCUUCUUUUGGGCGUGGGGACUGACCUGUUUAGAUGCAACUUGUUUUUCUUUCUUUAUGUUUAUCCAUAACUGUAGAUAAUGUAAGUAGCUAUGUUAUGUUGUAAAAAUUAUUAUUUAUGUUUCUUUAUCAAAAGAUUUUAUAAAGUUGGUACUUAAGAAUUAA